GGACGACUUCCAGAGAUGGAUUUCGUCCCUUCGGGGACCUAGUGACAGGUGCUGCAUGGCUGUCGUCAGCUCGUGUCGUGAGAUGUUGGGUUAAGUCCCGCAACGAGCGCAACCCUGUCCUUAGUUGCCAUCAUUUAGUUGGGAACUCUAAGGAAACCGCCGGUGAUAAGCCGGAGGAAGGUGGGGAUGACGUCAAGUCCUCAUGGCCCUUACACGCUGGGCUACACACGUGCUACAAUGGCGGUGACAGUGGGCAGCAAGCACGCGAGUGUGAGCUAAUCUCCAAAAACCGUCUCAGUUCGGAUUGUUCUCUGCAACUCGAGAGCAUGAAGGCGGAAUCGCUAGUAAUCGCGGAUCAGCAUGCCGCGGUGAAUACGUUCCCAGGCCUUGUACACACCGCCCGUCACGCCAUGGGAGUUGGUUUCACCCGAAGAUGGUGCGCUAACCCGCAAGGGAGGCAGCCAGCCACGGUGGGAUCAGCGACUGGGGUGAAGUCGUAACAAGGUAAGCGUAGUGCU
rnacentral:rRNA from 1 species